rnacentral:lncRNA from 1 species
GGCUACAGGCCAUGAAAUUUGCAUGUGGCCGUUGAGUGAGAUGUUAAGCACAGUUAUAUUGGUUUGUGGCAGGAAGAGGGUGUGUGAUGAGGGAGAGGUUUGGUUGCAAGUAAGAACAAAUGAGGGGUCUAAGGAACAAGUGUCGGAGAUGCCGAAGGGGAAGGGAACGGUAACAUCGCCACAGUUUGAAGAACAGUUUGGCUUUGAUAUGCCUUGAGUUUUAGAUUUUGCAAUAAGCAGGGCAACGAGAAGCAGCUGCAGCAGCAGCUGCUUAGAGUGCACAGACAUGGCUUUGUUUUUCAAGUUCUUGUACUGGACAUUAUCUCUUCUGCUAUUGUAAUGAUGGUGGUUAGAGAGAAUCUAAAGAGAUCAAGAGGAUUAACUCUGUUACUGCAUUGGAUGAUAGAUUCAAACAAGGCUGCAUGCUCUACAAUUUUAAUAUAUCAAUAAUGAUAUUUAUAUACUUAUAGAAUAAUUUUAUUUUUCAUUUUGUAUUCUUUCUCAUUUCAACUGUUUUACUUUGUUUUCUUCAUCAUAUUUUUCUUUCUUUGCUGUAUUUUCAACCUUUCUAAGACCAUGAUUGUGUCGAUUUGUUAGCUAGGAGCAGGACAGCCGGCUGUGGAAGGCAAAAACUGAUUAAUGAAGGUAUGUGUUAAAAAAUAAUUAAUAAAAUUAUGUAUUAAUUUGUAUAUAGUUUUAGUUCUUAAUUUACUAUAUUUUUACCUUUCACGCAUUUGUUAUGUAUGAUUAAAUUUAUCGAGUAAAUUCUAUUAAUAAUUAUAAAAAUUCUUGCAAAAAUGAGUUCAUUUGUAAGCAACAAUGACAGAUUUUAAAUCAACAAUAUUUUAAACCGAGUUCUUGAAUUAAUUUAAUUCUAUGAAGUUACUGGUAAUGAUAUAUAUCCAUUCAUUCAUUUGGGUAAAUACAAAAAGGGAAAGCAUUUUCAUUAGUAAUAAUCUGAACAAUGGUGACAGAACAUUCAAUUGUACAUCAUAGCAUUUAUCGAAUCACUUGUUAACGUUUCUGAAAAUGACACUCAUCAACGAUACCUUAUAUUACUUUUGAUGCAGAACUGAGGGAUGAUGAAAUUAAAAAGGUUUAUCGUGGCCAGCAUAAUAUGUAUAUAUUGAAUCUUCGAAUUGGUCCAUAGACAAAGCACCUCCAAGUAUGCACACUUCAUCUACCAUCCCAUAACGGUGACAUCACAUCGUUGCAA